rnacentral:snRNA from 1 species
AUCGCUUCUCUGCCUUUUGGCUAAGAUCAAGUGUAGUAUCUGUUCUUAUCAGUUUAAAAUAUCCCCAAUCUACCCGUUAGCACACUCUCCAAAUCUCCAGGAGAUCUUAGAUGCUCCAUCCCAAAUAAGGCUGAAUGUAUUUUUAAGAUGCUCCUGAAAACUCCU